AUUGAACGCUGGCGGCAGGCCUAACACAUGCAAGUCGAACGAGUGGCGGACGGGUGAGUAAUGUCUGGGAAACUGCCUGAUGGAGGGGGCUAACUACUGGAAACGGUAGAUAAUACCGCAAACCAUCAGUUCUGCCCAGAUGGGAUUAGCUUGUUGGUGGGGUAACGGCUCACAAAGGCGACGAUGCCUAGCUGGUCUGAGAGGAUGACCAGCCACACGGGAACUGAGACACGGUCCAGACUCCUACGGGAGGCAGCAGUGGGGAAUAUUGCACAAUGGGCGAAAGCCUGAUGCAGCCAUGCCGCGUGUAUGAAGAAGGCCUUCGGGUUGUAAAGUACUUUCAGCGGGGAGGCGUUACCCGCAGAAGAAGCACCGGCUAACUCCGUGCCAGCAGCCGCGGUAAUAC
rnacentral:rRNA from 1 species